AUUUGGCAUUGGUAUUUGAUUGAUAUUUUUGUGUACUUUUCUCAUAAUUUGGUCACCUUGCCUCCUCCUUGUUGGACUAACACAGCUCAUAGACAUGGGGUUAAGGUGUUAGGGACUUUCAUCACAGAAGGGAUUGAUGGGAGACAGACUUGCAAUAAAUUGCUUGCAACUAAAGAGUCUGCUCAAAUGUAUGCUGAGAGGUUGAGAGAACUUGCUGUUGAUUUGGGCUUUGAUGGAUGGCUGUUGAAUAUAGAGGUUAGCUUAGACACGGCACAGAUUCCAAAUUUGACAGAAUUUGUCAGCCAUCUAACACAGAUUAUGCACUCCUCAGUGCCUGGAUCUUUAGUAAUAUGGUAUGAUAGUGUGGCAAUCACAGGAAAACUUUCAUAUCAAAAUCAGCUGAAUGAAAAGAAUAAACCUUUCUUUGAUAUCUGUGAUGGGAUAUUUACAAACUAUUGGUGGAAUGUAUUGUAUUCUAAUUUUCUCUCUUUUUUUUUUUUCUCCCAUAUGAAGAUUGGUUUCACUUUUUCUUUUUUCCAUUUUUCUGGCAUAUAAGUCUCUUGCUUACCCUGCAGGAAGACUAUCCAAAACUCUCAGCAGCUGUUGCUGGUGAUAGAAAAUUCGAUGUCUACAUGGGAAUAGAUGUA
rnacentral:misc_RNA from 1 species